GGCACUUGAAUGCCUACUUGGCUUGGAAAGCUCUGUAACCUGAUGUUCAUAAAAUGGGGGAAGAAAACAGUGUGUGUGGGGGGGGGGUUGUUUCUUGUUCUGGUUGAAUUGCUUUUGACGUUCAUUUUUUCCUCUUUUCUUUUUCCUUCUUGAUGUUGGGGGGGGGGGGGGAAUUUGGAGAACUUUGGAAGAAGAGGAAGAAAUGUAUUGUAUUGCAAUAUUUGCUCCUGGGAGCCUGUCAAUGGAUCCUCGUGCUCGGCACUGUACAUGUAACAAAGUGUUUGUUUUGUUACAUCGAACAGGAGACGGACGGUUGCGGUGGCAGAGGAAAGAGAAAAGCAGACGCUCAGCCUUGAGCUCCGCCGUCCCCAGCCCAGCGGAGCCUGUCCCGGGAAGACCGUGACCCCGUAAGGGAAGCAGGCUACCAACAGACCGAAUAAAGCAAAGCCAAAGGCCGGCGAUUGCGGUGCAGUGCAGCCAAGGACAGGCAAGAGGCCCUGGCUAAAGCAGAUCCCCCUUGGCAGAGAAGAAACGUGCCUGUUGGGGGAGGAUUAACCCCUGGCCCCCGAAUGUGUGAGGCGAACGCAGGCGCAGGGUGCAAUUCGGGCUCCCUGGGAACCCAUGGCAGUGAGUUUCGCCCGCAAUCUGCAGGGGCAAAGGGGGGAGUCGCCCUCCAGGCCAGGAGCAGCGUGCCCCUGAUGGAGUUUAAAGGAAGCAUUUGUCCUCCUCUGGUCUCCGUCUUCCCCCGGCCCCAGGCUCUCCCAGCCGGUCCCCAUUUUCCAGGCCCUGGUGUCGGUUUCAGGGCUCCCCCCCCCCCGGGUGUGCCCCGUGCGAGGGCCGGUGUUGCAUUCAGGGAAUGGGUGCGGGGGUGAUUUACCUCUGUCCGUUUCCUUCCUAGACUGUGGAUUCUGGAUGGGGAGGAAGAAUAAUGCCAUUCUCUUCUUGUCAAUUGCAUUACACAAUCCCCCCCCCCCAUUGUAAUACGCCCCUUGUGGCACAGUGAAAAGGGAAGCACCUCUUUCCUGGGCCGCUUUAGCAUGGCUGGGAGGCAGUUUCUGUGCUCCAGAUAGAGGAAAAAGCUUCCCAUUUGGACCCCCUCCGCAAUAAACUUCCACAAACCACUGGGUUGUUUUGCGGUUUUCCCCCGUUUUCAAAUCGAUAUUUUCUCAUUUUGACCGCAAUCGUCUCUGUACCUGCCAUAUACGAUAUGGAAUAAUGCAAGCGCUUCCCAUACGCAUCGACUUCACAUACUGUGAGAUAUAGAUAUAGAUUGUAACCGAGCACACACCUCUAGCCUUGUGUGGGACAUAUGCAUGUGGAUGAGAGAGCCUGUCAUAACAUUAACUGUGUGGAUUAGCUAAACCGGGAGGCUAAUUACGUGCAAGUGAUCUGAAGAAAAAAUGGCCUGCCUGACUGAAAGGACCAGGGGAGACGUGGGGAAGAAAAAGCCAAAAAUCUCAUCUUCCUUGCCUCCAAGAUCCAGUGGAGCCGGGCCAAUGAAACACAGAGCAGAAGCUGGCUUGGUUAUUGGCUUCUGGUAAUUAAACCAAGAAAGAGCGUGGAAUUAAAACACCAGCUGCUCACACGAGCCCAGGGAAAGCCAUCACGGGACCCUCACCCCAGCUCUUCCAGCCAAAUCCAGCAGAUCCUUUCCAAAGGGAGAGCUGCCAAAUCCUUCCCUCCCCAGUGGGAGCUCUGGGGGCUUUCCUGUGCUGGGAUGAAGGUUUAAGCAA